UACGGGGGGAGCAAGCGUUGUUCGGAUUUACUGGGCGUAAAGGGCGCGUAGGCGGUCAGCACAAGUCAGUUGUGAAAUCUCCGGGCUUAACUCGGAAAGGUCAACUGAUACUGUGCGACUAGAGUGCGGAAGGGGCAACUGGAAUUCUCGGUGUAGCGGUGAAAUGCGUAGAUAUCGGGAGGAACAUCAGUGGCGAAGGCGGCCUUCUGGUCCAGUACUGACACUCAAGUGCGAAAGCGUGGGGAGCAAACAGG
rnacentral:rRNA from 1 species